CUGAAGUUCAGCUUUUCAAGUCAUCUCGAGCCCGAGAAGCCUCAGAAGACUGUUGGAGGUUGACGCCAGUGCCUGUGGAGCCGGUGCCAUGUUACUGCAGGAUGAUGCGGACUGCGUACCUCACCUGGUGCGUUUUUUCUCUGCUAACUUCAAUCGCCAUAAGCUGAACUACUCAACCAUUGGGAAAGACACCCUGGCGAUGGUGCUCGCCUUGCAGCAUUUUGAAGUGUACGUGGGUUCCAUAUCGGUCACUGUGUACACCGACCAUAAUUAUAACUAAGUAACUAUUAUAUAUAAUAAUAACUACCUUUAUCCCCUGGACAUUUUUAGGGGACGUAACAGUAAUCUUUACAGAAACCCAGUUUCAUAUAUAUGUUUAAUUCCAUGCUAUGCCAUUGUAAACUACAUAAAUUGAAUAAAUGAGCAGUACUUGGGGAUGGUUCAAGUACUUAAUGAAA